rnacentral:rRNA from 1 species
ACGGCUCAUUAUAACAGCUAUAAUGUACUUGAUGUUGAUUAUCCAACGUGGAUAACUGUGGCAAUUCUAGAGCUAAUACAUGCACCAAAGCUCCGACUUAUGGACGAGCGCAUCUAUUAGAUUAAAACCAAUCGGGUUAUUGAUUUAGCCCGUAAAUUGGUGACUCUGAAUAGCUAUGGCUGAUCGCAUGGUCUUGUACCGGCGACAUAUCUAUCAAGUGUCUGCCUUAUCAACUUUCGAUGGUAGUUUAUGUGCCUACCAUGGUUGUAACGGGUAACGGAGAAUAAGGGUUCGACUCCGGAGAGGGAGCCUGAGAAACGGCUACCACAUCCAAGGAAGGCAGCAGGCGCGCAAAUUACCCACUCUCAGAAUGAGGAGGUAGUGACGAAAAAUAACGAGACCGUUCUCUUUGAGGCCGGUUAUCGGAAUGGGUACAAUUUAAACCUGUUAACGAGGAUCUAUGAGAGGGCAAGUCUGGUGCCAGCAGCCGCGGUAAUUCCAGCUCUCAAAGUGUAUAUCGUCAUUGCUGCGGUUAAAAAGCUCGUAGUUGGAUCUGCGUCUCAGGACCCGGUCCAUCCAUUGGAUGAGAACUGGGCUCCUAGGCUAAUAUUGCGAGUUUUCCAUACGUUACCUUGAUCGGUUGCGUAUGGUGGCUAGCAAGUUUACCUUGAAAAAAUUAGAGUGCUCAACGCGGGCUAAUGCCUGAAUACUCGUGCAUGGAAUAAUGGAAUAGGAUCUCGGUUCUAUUUUGUUGGUUUUCUGAUCUGAGAUAAUGGUUAAGAGGGACGGACGGGGGCAUUCGUAUCGCUGCGUGAGAGGUGAA